GGGUCCGUAGCUCAACUGGUAGAGCAAUGGUCUCCAAAACCAGAGGUUGUAGGUUCGAUUCCUACCGGGCCUG
rnacentral:tRNA from 1 species